AACGAACGCUGGCGGCGUGCCUAACACAUGCAAGUCAAACGGGAAAGUGCUCUUCGGAGGGCGAGUACCGUGGCGAACGGGUGAGUAACACGUGGGCAAUCUGCCCUCAGGAUCGGGAUAACCCGCCGAAAGGCGUGCUAAUACCGGAUAAGACCACACUGUCACCGGGCAGAGUGGGAAAAGGUGGCCUCUCCAUGGAAGCUAUCACCUGAGGAUGAGCCCGCGGCCUAUUAGCUUGUUGGUGAGGUAACGGCUCACCAAGGCGACGAUGGGUAGCCGGCCUGAGAGGGUGAACGGCCACACUGGCACUGAGACACGGGCCAGACUCCUACGGGAGGCAGCAGUGGGGAAUUUUGCGCAAUGGGGGAAACCCUGACGCAGCAACGCCGCGUGAGUGAUGAAGGCCUUCGGGUCGUAAAGCUCUUUUAGUGGGGAAGAAACACCUUGGGGCGAAUAAUCCCAGGGCUUGACGGUACCCACAGAAAAAGUUCCGGCUAACUACGUG
rnacentral:rRNA from 1 species